GACCUUCUCACAACCAUGAAUGCAUAGUGAUGUUGGAACGCAUGCUCCAUGCAUGUGGUGUAAUAUGAAGGUGGACAAAGCGCAUUGCAGAUUAUGUAUUCAUGGGAGUCUGUAUAAUUGCCUGUGGCAUGGGAAAUAAUUUUUAAUUAACACUUUAUUAAUAUGAGCGUGUUGGAUCUACAUCAUUACACUACAAAUAUUUUAAUUCAAUUUGAUGCACUAUAUGCAAAUAUCUGUCAAACAAAAUUUUAUACUAAUUUCUUUCACUCUGCACGAUGGAGCCAAUCAUUAGGUCAAUUUUAAAACGCCAUUUUGUGUUAUUCAUGAAAGAAUUCACAGAAAUUAUUAAUACCAGAAUUUCAGAACAUAUAUUGUACAGAUGGACUAGAACACUGGUCACUCAACCAAGGCUUAAUGUAGAAAUGUAAACAGACUUUGACAUUGAAGAAAGCAGUCUUCUGGGAUUUGGCACUGUGUAUAUGUGGUGUUAACCGACGUUAACAGACUUUGACAACAUUGGAACAGCUGAUGCCUACCAGCUGAUUCUGGGGAGCGGGAGCGCCAACAACAAGAUAGUAAUUAAAAUAGUCAAUUAAUGAAAAAUGACUGUUUUCUUACAUUUCUAACACUUUCACUCAUCAUGAAAUAACAUCUUAUGAAAUUGAAGCAUUAAUUCAUUUUCUAUAUUUGGAUUUUAUAUCUGGUAAGGAUUUAUAUAAUUUAAUUUUUAGGGGGUUGGAAUUCUGAUAUGUUUGUCGUGGUAUGUUGCAAAAAAGUCAGAAAGUAAUGGAUAAAUAUGUAAGUUUUCAUGUUGAAUGUUCAUUAAAAUGUUCGUUCAUUGACAAACGUCUCAAUGAAACCGUAGUUAGUUAUUAUUUUCGAAAUCUGUACGGUGCUUUUGGUUUUUUUUUCCUUUGUAUAUAUGUAUAUGUAGGCGAGUCAAAUGAAAACCGUAAAACUGAGAUAAAAAUUCGAAAUAUCGCGCCAUUGUCCUAUAUGUUGGCAGACAUGUUACCAAUGCUAUAAAGAGUAUCCUAUAGGUGGCAGUAUAAUUCAGACAAACAGAACACCAUCACGACCAUCACAGUGCCGGUUUGAAGAUGGCUGCUGGAAUAGGUACAUGCAGGAAAGAACAAAAACGUUCUGUAAUUUGUUUUUUGGUCAGUGAAGGUGUGAAACGGAUUGAAGUUCAUCGACAGAUGAAGGUUCGGUAUGGUGAUGCAUGCUUGUCACAGCAGCAAGUGUACGAGUGGAGUAGGAAAUUCAGAAAUGGUGUGAUGUCUGGCAGACGCUCCUCACCCGGGUCAGGUGCACAGAGUUGUGACCCCUGAGUCUGAUGCAGCAGUUGAAGCCCUAGCGAUGGAGAAUCGCCAAGUGUCGGUGGAUGAAAUAGCCUAAAUUCUUAACAUGAAUCGCGGAUAAGCACACCAUGUCAUUCAUGAUGUGCUCCAGUUUCACAAAGUGUCUGCAAGGUUGGUGCCACAGCAGCUGACUCCAGAAUUGAAACAACAACAACAAUGUGUUGACACCUGUAAAGAACUUCUGCGGCGCCUUGAAGCAGAAGGUGGUGGCUACCUUUUGAGAAUCGCUACUGGUGAUGAAACUUGGGUGUACUACCACCAACCACAAACAAAGAGAACAAGCAAGGAAUGGCAUCAUUCCUCAUCACCAAAAUCCAAGAAGUUCUGAAUCGCAUUAAUGCAGUUCCUGUAAGCAUCCGUACAUCAAAGUAUGAAUGCAUAUUCUUAAUAACUGCUGCAGACCAGCUCAGUAAAUGUAACGGCAGUAAGCUGAAAUUUCUGAUUUAUCUGUGCAGAUUAGCAAGAUAGCGAUCAUGUGAUUGUUUUUUAUACACAUUGCGUUAACUAAUCGGGUUAGUAUCAACGGUAUGAACUGUUAGCUUUACGGUUUGCAGGUCUAACGUAUAAGAGCCACAUGGAUACACAACAAAGGCGUAUAUUACUUUUGUCUACCUCUGUAGUGUAUGGUUCCGAGUAUCUUCAUUAUGCAACGGAUGACAUAAAUAAGUUUUUGAAAAGUACAAUGUUUCACAUAUCCUGUUUGUACCAUAUGCAUUACAUGAUUGUGAUGAAUACGCAAAUAAAGUUACAGGUGCCUUCGAGAAGUGGGGUGAUUGAUGCCAGUAUAUUGUAUCGUUCAUAACUGCAACUGUUAAUUUGUGUAUUUAUAAUACAGAGACCAGUUGGGGUGCAUAAUUUAUAAGUUUUUUACAGACUGAACCUCAAAAUAAAAAAUUUGAGAAAGGUUAGUUUAAAUAACUAAAUAAAAGCCAAUUUCAGAA